AGAGUUUGAUCCUGGUUCAGGAUGAACGCUGGCGGCGUGCUUAAUACAUGCAAGUCGAACGAAGACAGUAGCAAUAUUGUCUGAGUGGCGAACGGGUGAGUAACGCGUUGGUGACCUGCCCCGAAGAGAGGGAUAACAGUCCGAAAGGAUUGCUAAUACCCCAUGUGGUCAUUUGGAUUAGAUGCCUUAUGACUAAACGGAUUUAUUCGCUUCGGGAGGGGCCUGCGUCCCAUCAGCUAGUUGGUAAGGUAAUGGCUUACCAAGGCGAUGACGGGUAGGGGACCUGAGAGGGUGGCCCCCCACAAUGGAACUGAAACACGGUCCAUACACCUACGGGUGGCAGCAGUAGGGAAUAUUGGUUAAUCUGGGAAACCGGGAACCAGCAACGCCGCGUGCACGAUGAAGGCCUUCGGGUUGUAAAGUGCUUUUUGAAAGGAUGAGGAAGGACAGUACUUUCAGAAUAAGCUUCGGCUAACUACGUGCCAGCAGCCGCGGUAAAAC
rnacentral:rRNA from 1 species